rnacentral:rRNA from 1 species
AUUGAACGCUGGCGGCAGGCCUAACACAUGCAAGUCGAACGGUAACAGGAAGAAGCUUGCUUCUUUGCUGACGAGUGGCGGACGGGUGAGUAAUGUCUGUGAAACUGCCUGAUGGAGGGGGAUAACUACUGGAAACGGUAGCUAAUACCGCAUAACGUCGCAAGACCAAAAAGGGGGACCUUCGGGCCUCUUGCCAUCGGAUGUGCCCAGAUGGGAUUAGCUAGUAGGUGGGGUAACGGCUCACCUAGGCGACGAUCCCUAGCUGGUCUGAGAGGAUGACCAGCCACACUGGAACUGAGACACGGUCCAGACUCCUACGGGAGGCAGCAGUGGGGAAUAUUGCACAAUGGGCGCAAGCCUGAUGCAGCCAUGCCGCGUGUAUGAAGAAGGCCUUCGGGUUGUAAAGUACUUUCAGCGGGGAGGAAGGGAGUAAAGUUAAUACCUUUGCUCAUUGACGUUACCCGCAGAAGAAGCACCGGCUAACUCCGUG